rnacentral:rRNA from 1 species
CCUACGGGUGGCAGCAGUGGGGAAUAUUGCACAAUGGGGGAAACCCUGAUGCAGCGACGCCGCGUGGGGGAAGAAGGAUUUCGGAAUGUAAAGCUCUAUUAGCAGGGAAGAAAAUGACGGUACCUGACUAAGAAGCCCCGGCUAACUACGUGCCAGCAGCCGCGGUAAUACGGAGGGUGCAAGCGUUAUCCGGAUUUACUGGGUGUAAAGGGAGCGUAGGCGGGAGAGCAAGUCUGAUGUGAAAGGCCGGGGCUCAACCCUAGGACUGCAUUGGAAACUGUUAGUCUGGAGUACAGGAGAGGUAAGUGGAAUUCCUGGUGUAGCGGUGAAAUCCGUAGAGAUUAGGAGGAACACCCGUGGCGAAGGCGGCCUACUGGACUGUAACUGACGUUGAGGCUCGAAAGCGUGGGGAGCAAACAGGAUUAGAUACCCCAGUAGUC